rnacentral:rRNA from 1 species
GAUGAACGCUGGCGGCGUGCCUAAUACAUGCAAGUCGAGCGAACGGACGAGAAGCUUGCUUCUCUGAUGUUAGCGGCGGACGGGUGAGUAACACGUGGAUAACCUACCUAUAAGACUGGGAUAACUUCGGGAAACCGGAGCUAAUACCGGAUAAUAUUUUGAACCGCAUGGUUCAAAAGUGAAAGACGGUCUUGCUGUCACUUAUAGAUGGAUCCGCGCUGCAUUAGCUAGUUGGUAAGGUAACGGCUUACCAAGGCAACGAUGCAUAGCCGACCUGAGAGGGUGAUCGGCCACACGGGAAGUGAGACACGGUCCAGACUCCUACGGGAGGCAGCAGUAGGGAAUCUUCCGCAAUGGGCGAAAGCCUGACGGAGCAACGCCGCGUGAGUGAUGAAGGUCUUCGGAUCGUAAAACUCUGUUAUUAGGGAAGAACAUAUGUGAAAGUAACUGUGCACAUCGUGACGGUACCUAAUCAGAAAGCCACGGCUAACUACGUG